CUGGUUGACCUACCAGUAGUCAUAUGCUUGUCUCAAAGCGUAAGCCAUGCAUGUCUAAGUAGAUGCUGUAUAAAGGCGAAACCGCGAAUGGCUCAUUAAAUCAGUUUUGGUUCCUUGGAACGUACCUUACUGCUUGGUUAACUGUGGCAAUUCUAGAGCUAAUACAUGCAGCAGAGCUCCGGCCCUCUGGGGGACGAUCCUUUUUAUUACACCAAAACCAAUCAGACCUCGUGACUAUAACUUUGGGCUGAUUGCACGGACUCGUUCCGGCGGUGUAUCUUUCAAGUGUCUGCCUUAUCAACUGUCGAUGGUAGGUUAUACGCCUACCAUGGUCGUAACGGGUGAUGGGAAAUCAGGGUUUGGUUCCGUAGAGGGAGCCUGAGAAACAGCUACCACAUCUAAGGAAGGCAGCAAGUGUGCAAAUUAUCCACUCCCAGAAUGGGGAGGUAGUGACAAAAAAUAACAAUACGGGACUCUUUUGAGACCCCAUAAUUGGAAUGAGUACACUCUAAAUCCUUUAACGAGGAUCUUUUGGAGGGCAAAUCUGUUGCCAGCAGCUGCAGUAGUGUAUAUU
rnacentral:ncRNA from 1 species